GACGAACGCUGGCGGCGUGCUUAACACAUGCAAGUCGAACGGAAAGGCCCUGCUUUUGUGGGGUGCUCGAGUGGCGAACGGGUGAGUAACACGUGAGUAACCUGCCCUUGACUUUGGGAUAACUUCAGGAAACUGGGGCUAAUACCGGAUAGGAGCUCCUGCUGCAUGGUGGGGGUUGGAAAGUUUCGGCGGUUGGGGAUGGACUCGCGGCUUAUCAGCUUGUUGGUGGGGUAGUGGCUUACCAAGGCUUUGACGGGUAGCCGGCCUGAGAGGGUGACCGGCGAGACGGGGAAUGGGACACGGCACAGAGGCAUAAGGGAGGCAGCAGGAGGGAAUCGGGGGCAAGGGAGGGGAGUCGGAGGGAGAAAGGCCGAGGGAGUGAAGAGGGUGUUCGGAGAGUAAAGGUGUGUGGUAAGAGAAGAAAGGGUGUGAGAGUGGAAAGUGCACACAGUGACGGUAAAGUACCAGAAAGGGACGGAUAACUACGUG
rnacentral:rRNA from 1 species